AAUCUUCGGCAAUGGACGAAAGUCUGACCGAGCAAUGCCGCGUGAGUGAAGAAGGUCUUCGGAUUNUAAAGCACUUUAAGUUGGGANGAAGAGUUGUAGGCUAAUACCUUGCAAUUUUGACGUUACCAACAGAAUAAGCACCGGCUAACUUCGUGCCAGCAGCCGCGGUAAUACGAAGGGUGCAAGCGUUAAUCGGAAUUACUGGGCGUAAAGCGCGCGUAGGUGGUUUGUUAAGUUGGAAGUGAAAGCCCCGGGCUCAACCUGGGAACUGCUUUCAAAACUGGCAAGCUAGAGUAUGGCAGAGGGUGGUGGAAUUUCCUGUGUAGCGGUGAAAUGCGUAGAUAUAGGAAGGAACAUCAGUGGCGAAGGCGACUACCUGGACUGAUACUGACACUGAGGUGCGAAAGCGUGGGGAGCAAACAGG
rnacentral:rRNA from 1 species